rnacentral:rRNA from 1 species
CCUACGGGUGGCAGCAGUGGGGAAUAUUGGGCAAUGGGCGCAAGCCUGACCCAGCAACGCCGCGUGAAGGAAGAAGGCUCUCGGGUUGUAAACUUCUUUUAUCAGGGACGAAGCAAGUGACGGUACCUGAUGAAUAAGCCACGGCUAACUACGUGCCAGCAGCCGCGGUAAUACGUAGGUGGCAAGCGUUAUCCGGAUUUAUUGGGUUUAAAGGGUGCGCAGGCGGAAUGUCAAGUCAGCGGUAAAAUUUCGGGGCUCAACCCCGUCGUGCCGUUGAAACUGGCGUUCUUGAGUGAGCGAGAAGUAUGCGGAAUGUGUGGUGUAGCGGUGAAAUGCAUAGAUAUCACACAGAACUCCGAUUGCGAAGGCAGCAUACCGGCGCUCAACUGACGCUCAUGCACGAAAGCGUGGGUAUCGAACAGGAUUAGAUACCCUUGUAGUC